GCCAACUUGUUGGUGUUUAGAAAAGUAAUAGGGGACCCCCGCUAAUCUUAUAUUUAUUCUUUCUUGGCCAAUUGGGUUAGUUAAGAUCUUGAAUUUGGAUUGUUUGAUGUUGAAAUAUUACUAUUAGGGGUCUUCCUUCAUGCUAGGUCUAUGUUAUGACUAGAACUAUAGUAUGUUUGUUGUAUAACCACAAGACCUACUAUGACGAUAGUUG
rnacentral:lncRNA from 1 species